GGGGCUGUAGCUCAGUUGGGAGAGCGCCGCAAUCGCACUGCGGAGGUCAGGGGUUCAAAUCCCCUCAGCUCCACCA
rnacentral:tRNA from 2 species